CCUACGGGAGGCUGCAGUGGGGAAUAUUGCGCAAUGGGGGCAACCCUGACGCAGCAACGCCGCGUGAUUGAAGAAGGCCUUCGGGUUGUAAAGAUCUAUCAGCAGGGAAGAAAAUGACGGUACCUGAGUAAGAAGCUCCGGCUAAAUACGUGCCAGCAGCCGCGGUAAUACGUAUGGAGCAAGCGUUAUCCGGAUUUACUGGGCGUAAAGGGAGCGUAGGCGGCCUGCCAAGUCUGAUGUGAAAUACCGGGGCUCAACCCCGGGGCUGCAUUGGAAACUGGCAGGCUGGAGUGCCGGAGAGGCAGGCGGAAUUCCUAGUGUAGCGGUGAAAUGCGUAGAUAUUAGGAGGAACACCAGUGGCGAAGGCGGCCUGCUGGACGGUGACUGACGCUGAGGCUCGAAAGCGUGGGGAGCAAACAGGAUUAGAUACCCGGGUAGUC
rnacentral:rRNA from 1 species